rnacentral:rRNA from 1 species
UACGUAGGGUGCAAGCGUUAAUCGGAAUUACUGGGCGUAAAGCGUGCGCAGGCGGUUUUGUAAGUCUGUCGUGAAAUCCCUGGGCUCAACCUAGGAAUUGCGAUGGAGACUGCAAGGCUAGAAUCUGGCAGAGGGGGUAGAAUUCCACGUGUAGCAGUGAAAUGACGUAGAGAUGUGGAGGAACACCGAUGGCGAAGGCAGCCCCUGGGU